CCUACGGGGGGCAGCAGUGAGGAAUAUUGGUCAAUGGGCGCAAGCCUGAACCAGCCAAGCAGCGUGCAGGAAGACGGCUCUAUGGGUUGUAAACUGCUUUUGUAAGGGGGUAAAUUGCGGUACGUGUGCCGGGUUGCAUGUACUGUACGAAUAAGGAUCGGCGAACUCCGUGCCAGCAGCCGCGGUAAUACGGAGGAUCCGAGCGUUAUCCGGAUUUAUUGGGUUUAAAGGGUGCGUAGGUGGUGUGUUAAGUUAGUUGUGAAAGUCUGGGGCUCAACUCGGGCACUGCAUUUGAUACUGGCAGGCUUGAGUUUAGUUGAGGUAGGCGGAAUGCGUGGUGUAGCGGUGAAAUGCAUAGAGAUCAGGAAGAACACCGAUUGCGAAGGCAGCUUACCAAACUACGACUGACGUUGAGGCACGAAAGUGUGGGGAGCAAACAGGAUUAGAUACCCGUGUAGUC
rnacentral:rRNA from 1 species